rfam:Salmo salar isolate Sally breed double haploid chromosome ssa18, whole genome shotgun sequence.
UUCACGCAUGACUGUAAGUCGUUUUGGAUAAAAGUGUCUGCAAAAUGUUAUAUA